rnacentral:rRNA from 1 species
AUUGAACGCUGGCGGCAGGCUUAACACAUGCAAGUCGAACGAGUGGCGGACGGGUGAGUAAUGCUUGGGAAUCUGGCUUAUGGAGGGGGCUACCGCCGGAAGACUGUCGCUAAUACCGCGUACCAUCGGCUGAGCCCAAGUGGGAUUAGGUAGUUGGUGGGGUAAUGGCCUACCAAGCCGACGAGCUCGAGCGGGUCUGAGAGGAUGACCAGCAACACAGGGACUGAGACACGGCCCGGACUCCUACGGGAGGAAGCAGUGGGGAAUAUUGGGCAAUGGGGGCAACCUGACGCAGCCAUGCCGCGGGAAUGAAGAAGGCCUUCGGGUUGGAAAGUUCUUGCGGUGACGAGGCGUUAAUCACAGAAGAAGCACCGGCUAACUCCGUGCCAGCAGCCGCGGUAAUAC